rnacentral:rRNA from 1 species
GUCGGUGACCCAAUAGGCUUGAGGAAACACCCGUUCCCAUCCCGAACACGGCCGUUAAGCUCAAGUCGCCGAUGAUACUGGCUUUGCUGGGAAAGUAGGUAUCGCCGACU